CUUUUGAAACUUUGAAAACUUGGAUUGAAAACUUCGAUGAAACUUGGACGUUGAAAGAAAUGCACUCCUUGGAUGUUUGAAAACCGUUGAGAAUUGAUGCUUGAAAACACUUUUUAAACUUCUAGGAAAAAUAGUUUUCCUCCCUCUCUUUUUCUCUCUUGGAAACUCUUUCUUUAGUAUGUAAAAGCUCUUGCUUUUGGUGUGAGAAAAAAAUGAGUGAAAUGAGGUCUCUAUUUAUAGGUAAAUAUCCCAUAACUUAAAGCAAAUGAAGG
rnacentral:lncRNA from 1 species